rnacentral:rRNA from 1 species
AUGGACGUGGUGCAAGUCGGCGAUGAGGAGGUGCAAGUCGGCAAUGAGGAGGUGCAGCCGGCGCCGACCCUGGAGCUAAACCUCCUCGGCGCUGUCGGUGCUGAGGCGAACGCCGUGGCGGAGGCGGAGAAGGGAAAGGCCAAGUCGAGUGAGGCGGCCGGGCCUUCGUCGGUGGUGGCAGCCGCCGGCGGCGAGAAGCGCCGCGUGUUCAAGUGCAACUACUGCCCGCGCAAGUUCUACACGUCGCAGGCGCUGGGUGGCCACCAGAACGCGCACAAGCGCGAGCGCUCCGUCGCCAAGGGCGUCGCUGCGGGGCGGGGCGCCGGUCCUGGCGGCCCACUCGUGCCACACCACCUUCGCUUUCCCAACGCCUGGCCCUAUUCCGCCACCGGCAGGUCGUUCCUCGGCGUCGCGGCGCCGUUCUACGGGAUGCACAUGCACCACAACCUCCCCGGGUGGGCCCCGGCGGCCCAGCCGUCCCUCGCCGGGCUCACCCGUCACGCCGGCACCGACCGCCCGAUGUACCCGCUGGCGGAGGCCUACGGCUUUGGCGCGUCGCCCAGGGCCCCCAUCCCGGCGGCCUCCCCUCGCGCGCCGUCGAUGACCGCGAUCCAGUGGGGUGGUGGCAGCGGCAGUGGCAGUGGCAAUGGCGGCGAUCAUAGCGUUGAUGAAGCGAAGCAAGAAGAGGAGGAGAUCGCCAACACGGUAGACUUGACUCUCAAGCUCUAG